UACGUAGGGGGCAAGCGUUGUCCGGAAUCAUUGGGCGUAAAGAGCGUGUAGGCGGCCCGGUAAGUCCGCUGUGAAAGUCCAGGGCUCAACCCUGGGAUGCCGGUGGAUACUGUCGGGCUCGAGUCCGGAAGAGGAGUGUGGAAUUCCUGGUGUAGCGGUGAAAUGCGCAGAUAUCAGGAGGAACACCAAUGGCGAAGGCAGCACUCUGGGACGUGACUGACACUGAGACGCGAAAGCGUGGGGAGCGAACAGG
rnacentral:rRNA from 1 species